AAUUUUCAGCUUUACAGUAACGUUCUGAAUUAUUUAGUGAAAGAACAUUGUCUAAUAUGUAACUUUACAUAUUUUUAGUACGAUUGCAAAAGGAAUUUUUACAGAAAUAUAAACUAACUGACUAUAGUUUGCAGAACCUCAUACAAGGUGAGUAAUAAAGAUGGUUUUUUUAAGUUGAUACUUACGCCUUAUGUUGAUCCUGGUACCACAAGAGAUCAGGUGUUGACUGUUCGCCAUUUGUCGAAAAAUUAGACAAGAAAUAAAAAAA